UAGUGUUACAGCUCUUUUAGAAUUUGUCUAGUAGGUUUUCUGGUAUUUACCAGGAAGCCCCC
ensembl:snRNA U7 U7 small nuclear RNA